GACGAACGCUGGCGGCGUGCCUAAUACAUGCAAGUUGAGCGCUGAAGAAUGAUACAUGAACCAAAAAGAAAAGAAGAAACCAAAUGAGUCACGCGUGGGGCAACUAACUUUGAGCGGGGGACAACAUUUGGAAACGAAUGCUAAUACCGCAUAAAAACUUUAAACACAAGUUUUAAGUUUGAAAGAUGCAAUUGCAUCACUCAAAGAUGAUCCCGCGUUGUAUUAGCUAGUUGGUGAGGUAAAGGCUCACCAAGGCGAUGAUACAUAGCCGACCUGAGAGGGUGAUCGGCCACAUUGGGACUGAGACACGGCCCAAACUCCUACGGGAGGCAGCAGUAGGGAAUCUUCGGCAAUGGACGAAAGUCUGACCGAGCAACGCCGCGUGAGUGAAGAAGGUUUUCGGAUCGUAAAACUCUGUUGGAAGAGAAUAACGUUGGUGAGAGUGGAAAGCUCAUCAAGUGACGGUAACUACCCAGAAAGGGACGGCUAACUACGUG
rnacentral:rRNA from 1 species